rnacentral:tRNA from 1 species
GGGGCACUAGCUCAACCGGAUAGAGUCGCAGACUUCGAAUCUGUUGGUUGGGGGUUCGAAUCCCUCGUGCCUCA